rnacentral:rRNA from 1 species
UGGGGAAUAUUGGACAAUGGGCGAAAGCCUGAUCCAGCAAUGCCGCGUGAGUGAUGAAGGCCUUAGGGUUGUAAAGCUCUUUUACUAGGGAUGAUAAUGACAGUACCUAGAGAAUAAGCUCCGGCUAACUCCGUGCCAGCAGCCGCGGUAAUACGGAGGGAGCUAGCGUUGUUCGGAAUUACUGGGCGUAAAGCGUGCGUAGGCGGUUAUUUAAGUCAGGGGUGAAAUCCCGGAGCUCAACUCCGGAACUGCCCUUGAAACUAGAUAACUAGAAUCAUGGAGAGGUGAGUGGAAUUCCGAGUGUAGAGGUGAAAUUCGUAGAUAUUCGGAAGAACACCAGUGGCGAAGGC